GACGAACGCUGGCGGCGUGCUUAACACAUGCAAGUCGAACGGGAGGAAAAGAGAAGCUUGCUUCUUUUUGAAUCUAGUGGCAAACGGGUGAGUAACACGUAAACAACCUGCCUUCAGGAUGGGGACAACAGACGGAAACGACUGCUAAUACCGAAUGUGUUCCGGAGACCGCAUGAUUUCCGGAAGAAAGGAUGGCCUCUAUUUAUAAGCUAUCGCCUGAAGAGGGGUUUGCGUCUGAUUAGGCAGUUGGUGAGGUAACGGCCCACCAAACCUACGAUCAGUAGCCGGUCUGAGAGGAUGAACGGCCACACUGGAACUGAGACACGGUCCAGACUCCUACGGGAGGCAGCAGUGGGGAAUCUUCCGCAAUGGACGAAAGUCUGACGGAGCAACGCCGCGUGAGUGAUGACGGCCUCGGUUGUAAGCGUCUGUGAUCGGGACGAAUGGCUGGUAUGCUAAGUAUCAUAUCAGAGUGACGGUACCCGAAUAGCAAGCCACGGCUAACUACG
rnacentral:rRNA from 1 species